UGGGCUUGACAUCUACGAGAAACCCCGGCUUUCACCGGGGUUUCUCGUAGAUGUCAAGCCCAGGUAAGGUUCUUCGCGUUGCUUCGAAUUAAACCACAUGCUCCACCGCUUGUGCGGGCCCCCGUCAAUUCCUUUGAGUUUCAGCCUUGCGGCCGUACUCCCCAGGCGGGGCACUUAUCGCGUUAGCUGCGACACGGAAGGGGUCGAUCCCACCCGCGUCUAGUGCCCAUCGUUUACGGCGUGGACUAC
rnacentral:misc_RNA from 1 species